AUGAGGCUGGAAGAGGAGGAGAAGGUGGAGGGGCAGGAGCCAUCACAGAGGAGUAGAGAGGGCUUGGCGUCAUACCUGCAGGUGAAAGAGUAUGGUGGCAAAGACUCAACAGAGUGCCCACCUUGUCCAGCUCCUGACCUCCCAGGAGGGCCCUCUGUCUUCAUAUUCCCACCCAAGCCCAAGGACACCCUCAUGAUCUCCAGAACCCCUGAGGUGGCAUGUCUGGUGGUGGACGUGAGCCAGGAGGACCCUGAGGUCCAAUUCAGUUGGUACGUGGAUGGCACUGAGGUGCACACAGCCAAGACCGGGCCUCGGGUGGAGCAGUUCAACAGCACCUACCGCAUGGUCAGCGUACUCCCCAUCACGCACCAGGACUGGCUCAAGGGCAAGGAGUUCAAGUGCAAGGUCAACAAUGGGGCCCUCCCAUCACCUGUCGAGAGGACCAUUUCCAAGGCCAAGGGGCAACCCAGGGAGCCAGAGGUAUAUGCCCUGCCCCCACACCCGGACCAGCUGACUAAGAGCAGCGUCAGCCUCACCUGCCUGGUAACAGGAUUCUACCCUGAUGACAUCGACGUUGAGUGGAAGAAGAGCGACCAGCCAGAGCCUGAGAGUAACUACGUGAACACCCCACCCCAGAAGGAUUCCGAUGGGACCUUCUUCCUGUACAGCAAGCUCUCUGUGCCCACGUCAAGCUGGCAGUCAGGAGAUGUCUACUCCUGCGUGGUGAUGCACGAGGCACUGCACAACCACUACACCCAGAAGCCCGUCUCCCGGUCUGCCGAGCUGCACCCAGACGAGAGCUGUGCGGAGGCCCAGGAUGGGGAGCUGGACGGGCUGUGGACCACCAUCUCCAUCUUCAUCACACUCUUCCUGCUCACUGUGUGCUACAGUGCCACCAUCACCCUCUUCAAGGUGAAGUGGAUUUUCUCCUCCGUCGUGGAGCUGAAACAGACGAUUGUCCCUGACUACAGGAAUAUGAUCGGGCAGGCAGCCUAG